rnacentral:lncRNA from 1 species
UUUUAAAUUUUUACUACAAGCUUGUUCUAAGCAAGGUCUUGUGACCUGAUCCCACUGGUGUAAUAGUCUGGGCAGCUAUGCCAGCCUUGGGUCAUGAACUGGGGAUGGAAGUGUGCUGCCUUAGCUGAACCACUGACAUUGUCCCAGGAGACAACUACAGAGUUUGUACAGAGUCAGGGCUGGGAACAGAAGACUGAGGACAAAGGCAGCGCCUGCCAUGAAACUUGUCUGAACACCUGAGGAUUUCAGGACUGAUUUCCUGAGGACUGAGCAGUCUGUCGGUUCAGGAGUAGGAGCAUGAUGCUGAAGUUUGAAGAAGAGCAGAAGCAAAUGGCUUUUUAAUUUUUAAAGAAAUUUGAGUAUGCACAUGUGUUUGUGUAUGUAUAUGUAUGUGCAUGUGUGUGAGGGCACAGCAUGUGUGUGGAUGUCCUAGGAGAGCCAUGAGCUGGUCUUCACCCUCACACUUGAUAUGACACAGAGUCUCUGUUGGGUGUCACUGUGUCCACCAGACUCGCUGGUUUGCAGGAUUUGGGGAAUUCUUCUGUCUCUGCCUUCAAUCUUGCUGCAGGAGCGCUGGGGCUACAGACUUCCAUCAUCUAGCUUUAUGUGGGUUUUCAGGAUUCAAACUCAGGACCUCACAGUUCUGUAGCUAGAAGAUCCAGAAAAGACUGCCCCACCCACACAAAAGUACUGGAACCCCAAUGCACCGUAGCCUUUCCAGGACCCAUUAGGUAAGAUGCUAUGUACACUUCGU